rnacentral:rRNA from 1 species
UCUCAGUUCGGAUUGGAGCUGCAACUCGACUCCAUGAAGCUGGAUUCGCUAGUAAUCGCGCAUCAGCCAUGGCGCGGUGAAUACGUUCCCGGGCCUUGUACACACCGCCCGUCAAGCCAUGGAAGCCGGGGAGUGCCUGAAGUGUGCAACCGCAAGGAGCGCCCUAAGGUAAAACUGGUGACUGGGGCUAAGUCGUAACAAGGUAAC